UACGGGGGGGGCAAGCGUUGUUCGGAAUUACUGGGCGUAAAGGGCUCGUAGGCGGCCAACUAAGUCAGACGUGAAAUCCCCAGGCUCAACCUGGGAACUGCGUCUGAUACUGGAUGGCUUGAAUCCGGGAGAGGGAUGCAGAAUUCCAGGUGUAGCGGUGAAAUGCGUAGAUAUCAGGAGGAACACCGGUGGCGAAGGCGGAUCUCUGGGCCAUUACUGACGCUGAGGAGCGAAAGCGUGGGGAGCGAACAGG
rnacentral:rRNA from 1 species